CCUACGGGAGGCAGCAGUGAGGAAUAUUGGUCAAUGGACGAGAGUCUGAACCAGCCAAGUAGCGUGAAGGAUGACUGCCCUAUGGGUUGUAAACUUCUUUUAUAUGGGAAUAAAAUGUUCCACGUGUGGGAUUUUGUAUGUACCAUAUGAAUAAGGAUCGGCUAACUCCGUGCCAGCAGCCGCGGUAAUACGGAGGAUCCGAGCGUUAUCCGGAUUUAUUGGGUUUAAAGGGAGCGUAGGUGGAAUGUUAAGUCAGUUGUGAAAGUUUGCGGCUCAACCGUAAAAUUGCAGUUGAAACUGGCAGUCUUGAGUACAGUAGAGGUGAGCGGAAUUCGUGGUGUAGCGGUGAAAUGCUUAGAUAUCACGAAGAACUCCGAUUGCGAAGGCAGUUCACUGGACUGCAACUGACACUGAGGCUCGAAAGUGUGGGUAUCAAACAGGAUUAGAUACCCCUGUAGUC
rnacentral:rRNA from 1 species